AUUCAUUUUUCUUCAUCUUCGUCCCAAAAUCGAAAACACGUUCAUCACACAAAAAUCGUUCCAAACCCAAUUCAAAAUCGAAAUCGAAAUCCAUUCAAAAUAUUGAGUUCAUCAUCUCAAAAUCGAAGACAUGUUCUUCCAUUCAAAAUCGAAAACAUGUUCUUCCAUGCAGUUUGAAAUCGAAAUCCAAUUCCGCUUUGAACCAGUUCGUAUGAUUCACUCCUCCCUUGUUCCCAAAUCGUUCUCAAAUCACAAAGAUUGAGUGUUGUAAUCAUCCAUAUAUUAUUGAUGAAUCCCUGCAACCUUUACUACUAAAGGGCCUUGAGGAAGUUGUGUAUCCGAGUCAAAAAAGAAAAAGCAGUUGCAUAUCUGAAUGUCGGAAUAAAAGCAAGUGGCAAGCUGCAACUACUUGAUUCAAUGCUCACGGAGUUGAUAACAAAUAAAUUAAGGGCACUCAUACUUUUUCAGGGUAGAACUGAUUCAUGUUUCAGUUUGUUACUCAUUCAUUCAUGUCCAAGACUCGCCUUCCAGUUCUAUUAUCGCGUGUUGGUGCUGGCUGCUCGCAACUGCUCUCAUAUAUGCAGGCUUUCAAGAUCCAAAGACUUCGGAGGAGCAACAGAGUUGCAUCAGAGGACAUGCCUAAUUUUUGUCUCUUGAGGUAGGGGCCGGUGUUAAUAGGUGCUGCUGCUGGUGUGGUGUGUGAUUUUCUGCUAAUUUUCGCAGGCCUAUGUCAGUCUUCUGCUGCUUGCGGUUGGUUUUCUUGGUGUUCCAAUUCUGUUCGGUUUUGGAAGGGUUGGGGGCUGUUUAGUUCGACAUUCUAUCUAAGUUUGGGAAAAUUUGUUGUUGGCAGCAGUGCUGCAUUUUUGUGCUGGCAGCAGAGAAGGAGUUUUCAUGUCACAGGGAAUCCUUGUCAUAGGGAUUUUGAGGUAGGGGUAUGCUUUCGGUUUUCUAUUGUCUGUUGGUAUACUUCGGCCUCAUUAUUUAGAAUCGUUUUGGGAGCUUGGGCUGUUGGUGUUCCGUAUAUUUGCGGCGCCAUUUGUAUCUUUUCUUUAGUUCGACUCUCAUGUGCAUUGUGCGGAUUAUUUAUGUGAUAUUUUUGUCUUUAUACUGA